GGCUAGGGAUGCUGGCGUAAUGGUUGUAAGCGGCCCGUCUUGAAACACGGACCAAGGAGUCUAACAUCUGUGCGAGUGUUUGGGUGUCAAACCCGUACGCGUAAUGAAAGUGAACGGAGGCGGGAACCCCUCGGGGUGCACCGUCGACCGAUCCUGAUGUCUUCGGAUGGAUUUGAGUAAGAGCAUAGCUGUUGGGACCCGAAAGAUGGUGAACUAUGCCUGAAUAGGGUGAAGCCAGGGGAAACUCUGGUGGAGGCUCGCAGCGGUUCUGACGUGCAAAUCGAUCGUCAAAUUUGGGCAUAGGGGCGAAAGACUAAUCGAACUAUCUAGUAGCUGGUUCCUGCCGAAGUUUCCCUCAGGAUAGCAGUAACGUUUUCAGUUUUAUGAGGUAAAGCGAAUGAUUAGAGGCCUGGGGGUUGAAACAACCUUCACCUAUUCUCAAACUUUAAAUAUGUAAGAAGUCCUUGUUGCUUAGUUGAACGUGGACAUUUGAAUGUAUCGUUACUAGUGGGCCAUUUUUGGUAAGCAGAACUGGCGAUGCGGGAUGAACCGAACGCGGAGUUAAGGUGCCGGAAUGCACGCUCAUCAGACACCACAAAAGGUGUUAGUUCAUCAG
rnacentral:rRNA from 1 species